UACGUAGGGUGCGAGCGUUGUCCGGAAUUAUUGGGCGUAAAGAGCUUGUAGGCGGUUUGUCGCGUCUGCCGUGAAAAUCCGAGGCUCAACCUCGGACUUGCGGUGGGUACGGGCAGACUAGAGUGUGGUAGGGGAGACUGGAAUUCCUGGUGUAGCGGUGAAAUGCGCAGAUAUCAGGAGGAACACCGGUGGCGAAGGCGGGACUCUGGGCCGAUACUGACGCUGAGGAGCGAAAGCGUGGGGAGCAAACGGG
rnacentral:rRNA from 1 species